GUUUGGCUAUCCAACUCAUCUGGUCUUGCUCUUUUGCACAUUUAUCUGUGGUUUAUGGUCUGGGUGGCAUCUCAGCAUUCUACUCGUGCCAUCCCAGAUACCACUGGUCAAUCUCCUUUGUAAUUCAUACUCAUUUCGUGUAAGAAUUGUCAUCAUAAUAUACCACGUAAAGUAACGAGGCUCCUUACAAGCAUAGCG